rnacentral:rRNA from 1 species
UACCUGGAGUGGGGGAUAACGUAGCGAAAGUUACGCUAAUACCGCAUACGAUCUAAGGAUGAAAGCAGGGGACCGCAAGGCCUUGUGCUCCUGGAGCGGCCGAUAUCUGAUUAGCUAGUUGGUGGGGUAAAGGCCUACCAAGGCAUCGAUCAGUAGCUGGUCUGAGAGGACGACCAGCCACACUGAACUGAGACACGGUCCAACUCCUACGGGAGGCAGCAGUGGGGAAUUUUGGACAAUGGGCGCAAGCCUGAUCCAGCAAUGCCGCGUGAGUGAAGAAGGCCUUCGGGUUGUAAAGCUCUUUUGUUAGGGAAGAAACGGGUGGAGCUAAUAUCUCUGCCUAAUGACGGUACCUGAAGAAUAAGCACCGGCUAACUACGUGCCAGCAGCCGCGGUAAUACGUAGGGUGCAAGCGUUAAUCGGAAUUACUGGGCGUAAAGCGUGCGCAGGCGGUUUUGUAAGUCUGUCGUGAAAUCCCCGGGCUCAACCUGGGAAUUGCGAUGGAGACUGCAAGGCUAGAAUCUGGC